rnacentral:lncRNA from 1 species
CCCUUCUUCUAGGGUUAGAUCAGAUGUGAUGAGAGGUCAAGAGGUGCUGUCUGGUGGCAGUACGAAGAUCUGAUCUAUAUGUCCAGGUAAUAAAUUGAACUAAUUGGGUAACAAGCUUCUGCUCUUGAACCACCCGUGAUUUAAUUUGCUGUGCUACAUGAAUCUGGCUGCCUUGCUUGCGAAUCAACCAGAGCUUUUCUUUUCAAAAACUAGUAUUUUCUUUGUUCACUUUUAUAAGGCUUUGUAGACGUUUCAGACAUUGUGCAAAACAGCUCAAUUUCACUUGUCUGAAACGAUUUAUAAAAGUGGACGGAGGGAGUAUUGAUUUCCUGGAUAUUGUUUUCACUUUUGAUUAUUCAUCCGCUAAACCUUUCCUUGUUUCUCGUUGCAUAUAUAGGUUUUGCAUUUGGAGGCAGUAAACUGGAGGCAACAACUGCAUAACUUGCGAGAUGCUCGUAAGAUUUCUUAAUUGUCCACUAAAACUAGAACAUGUUCAAUUAUCUUCAUGGGGACUUUAUGAGAUUACUUACUCUCCAACCUUAAUUCAAAACUACGACAUUUAUUACGGAUCGGAGGGAGUAGUUCCAUAGGUUUUCAUAUGUUCUUUGGCUUGGGCUAGCGACUAUGAGAAGAUCCGGGAGAGGGGGAUAAAGAAACUAUUAACAGGACGGGCCCAAAUAAAACCAAAAUAUUCUUGGGACUAUACUUUCGCGUCGAUAUUUAGUUUUUACUCAUUAUCAUUAUCACUGUCAUUUGUCACUUCUGACUCCAAAAUCUGGAGCAUCAAUAUUUUCCCUCCUAGCAUUGCAAUUUCAGCUAAUUACUAUUCUAGAUAUCCCUUUGAAAUGUCGGAUGGUGUUACCUUUUAUUCACUUCAUAAGUUAUGCAUACAGGAAAUUGUGGCUUUGUCCACAUCAUCAGUCUAAGGUAGCAAUUGGCCCACGUACCAGAGAUAAAUAAUGAUAAUUUAGUUUAAUCUGUGUAAACAAAGUUGGGUCAAAAAAUAUAUUUAGUCUAUUCCUCUUUCAAGGAGGUAAUAACAUAAACUUUGUGGCUUCAGUGUGCCACACUAGACACAAUGUAUGGUCUAAUUUAUGCUUGAAAACUAAUUAUUGUUGGGGAACGUUGCAGAAAAUUAAAAUUUUUCCUACGGUUUCACCAAGAUCCAUCUAUGAGUUCAUCUAAGCAACGAGUCAAGGGAGAGAGUUAGCAUCUACAUACCACUUGUAGAUCACGUGCGGAAGCUUGCAAGGUGAUGAUGUAGUCGUACUCGACGUGAUUCGAAUCACCGAUGACCAAGUGCUGAACGGACAGCACCUCCGCGUUCAACACACGUACGGGACGGGAGACGUCUCCUCCUUCUUGAUCCAGCAAGGGGGAAGGAGAGGUUGAGGAAGACAGCUCCACCGGCAGCACGACGGCGUGGUGAUGGUGGAGAGGCAGUACUCCGACAGGGCUUCGCCAAGCACACAACAGAGGAGGAGAGGUGUUGGGGAGGGGAGGGCUGCGCCUUGGAGGGUGGUGCGGCUGCCCUCCCCUCACCCCUCUAUUUAUAGGGGGAAGGGAGAAGGGGGCCGNNNNNNNNNNNNNNNNNNNNNNNNNNNNNNNNNNNNNNNNNNNNNNNNNNNNNNNNNNGGUGCGGCGGCCUAGGGGAGAGGGGAGAGGGUGGCUUGCCCCCCAAGUCAAGGGGGCGCCCCCUCUAGGGUUCCCCCUCAACCCUAGGCGCAUGGGCCCAAGGGAGGGGGGUGCGGCCAGCCCACCAGGGGCUGGCUCCCUGCCCCACGCAGCCCAUGUGGCCCCCCGGGAGGGGUGGCCCCUCCCGAUGGACCCCCGGAACCCUUCCGGUGGCCCCGGUACAAUACCGGUAUGACCCCGAAACUUCCCGGUGUCCGUUUGACAACUUUUCAUAUAUAAAUCUUUACCUCCGGACCCUUCCGGAGCUCCUCGUGACGUCCAGGAUCCCAUCCGGGACUCCGAACAACAUUCGGUAGUCACAUACUAGUCUUCCUAAUAACCCUAGCGUCACCGAACCUUAAGUGUGUAGACCCUACGGGUUCGGGAGACAUGCAGACAUGACCUAGACGCUCUCAGGUCAAUAACCAACAGCGGGAUCUGGAUACCCAUGAUGGCUCCCACAUGCUCCUCGAUGUUGUCAUCGGAUGAACCACUAUGUCGAGGAUUCGAUCAAACCCUGUAUGCAAUUCCCUUUGUCAAUCGGUACGUUACUUGCCCGAGACUCGAUCGUCGGUAUCCCAAUACCUUGUUCAGUCUCGUUACCGGCAAGUCACUUUACUCGUACCGUAAUGCAUGAUCCCGUGUCCAACACCUUGGUCACAUUGAGCUCAUAAUGAUGAUGCAUUACCGAGUGGGCCCAGAGAUACCUCUCCGUUAUACGGAGUGACAAAUCCCAGUCUCGAUCCGUGUCAACCCAACAGCUACUUUCGGAGAUACCUGUAAUGCAUCUUUAUAGUCACCCAGUUACGGUGUGACGUUUGAUACACCCAAGGCACUCUUACGGUAUCCGGGAGUUACACGAUCUCAUGGUCUAAGGAAGAGAUACUUGACAUUGGCAAAGCUCUAGCAAAACGAACUACACGAUCUUUUAUGCUAUGCUUAGGAUUGGGUCUUGUCUAUCACAUCAUUCUCCUAAUGAUGUGAUCCCGUUAUCAACGACAUCCAAUGUCCAUAGUCAGGAAACCAUGACUAUCUGUUGAUCACAACGAGCUGGUCAACUAGAGGCUCACCAGGGACAUAUUGUGGUCUAAGUAUUCACGCGUGUAUUACGAUUUCCGGAUAAUACAGUUAUAGCAUGAAUAAAGACAUUUAUCAUGAACAUUGAAAUAUAAUAAUACUUUUAUUAUUGCCUCUAGGGCAUAUUUCCAACAGUCUCCCACUUGCACUAGAGUCACCAAUCUAGUUACAUUGUGAUGAAUCGAACACCCAUAGAGUUCUGGUGUUGAUCAUGUUUUGCACGCGAGAGAGGUUUAGUCAGCGGAUCUGCGACAUUCAGAUCCGUGUGCACUUUGCAAAUCUCUAUGUCUCCAUUUUGAACAUUUUCACGGAUGGAGUUGAAACGACGCUUGAUGUGCCUGGUCUUCUUGUGAAACCUGGGCUCCUUGGCGAGGGCAAUAGCUCCAGUGUUGUCAUAGAAGAGUUUGAUCGGCCCCGACGCAUUGGGUAUGACUCCUAGGUCGGUGAUGAACUCCUUCACCCAAAUCGCUUCAUGCGCUGCCUCCGAGGCUGCCAUGUACUCCGCUUCACACGUAGACCCCGCCACGACGCUCUGCUUGCAGCUGCACCAGCUUACUGCUCCACCAUUCAACAUAUACACGUAUCCGAUUUGUGACUUAGAGUCAUCCAGAUCUGAGUCGAAGCUAGCGUCGACGUAACCCUUUACGACGAGCUCUUCGUCUCUUCCAUAAACGAGAAACAUGUCCUUCGUCCUUUUCAGGUACUUUAGGAUAUUCUUGACCGCUGUCCAGUGUUCCUUGCCGGGAUUAUUUUGGUAUCUUGCUACCAAACUUAUGGCAAGGUUUACAUCGGGUCUGGUACACAGCAUGGCAUACAUAAUAGAUCCUAUGGCUGAAGCAUAGGGGAUGACACUCAUCUCUUCUUUAUCUUUUGCCGUGGUCGGUGACUGAGCCGAGCUCAAUCUCACACCUUGUAACAUAGGCAAGAACCCCUUCUUGGACUGAUCCAUUUUGAACCUCUUCAAAAUCUUAUCAAGGUAUGUGCUUUGUGAAAGACCUAUGAGGCGUCUCGAUCUAUCUCUAUAGAUCUUGAUGCCUAAUAUAUAAGCAGCUUCUCCAAGGUCCUUCAUUGAAAAACACUUAUUCAAGUAGGCCUUAAUGCUGUCCAGAAAUUCUAUAUUAUUUCCCAUCAAGAGUAUGUCGUCUACAUAUAAUAUGAGAAAUGCUACAGAGCUCCCACUCACUUUCUUGUAAACGCAGACUUCUCCAUAAGUCUGUAUAAACCCAAACGCUUUGAUCAUCUCAUCAAAGCGAAUGUUCCAACUCCGAGAUGCUUGCAUCAGUCCAUAAAUGGAUCGAUGGAGCUUGCAUACUUUGUUAGCGUUCUUAGGAUCGACAAAACCUUCCAGCUGCAUCAUAUACAGUUCUUCCUUAAGAUGCCCGUUAAGGAAUGUGUUUUGACGUCCAUCUGCCAUAUCUCAUAAUCAUAGUAUGCGGCAAUUGCUAACAUGAUUCGGACGGACUUUAGCUUCGCUACGGGAGAGAAUGUCUCAUCGUAGUCAAUCCCUUGAACCUGUUGAUAACCCUUAGCGACAAGUCGAGCUUUAUAGAUGGUGACAUUACCAUCCCCGUCCGUCUUCUUCUUAAAGAUCCAUUUGUUUUCUAUCGCUCGCCGAUCAUCGGGCAAGUCUGUCAAAGUCCAUACUUUGUUUUCAUACAUGGAUUCUAUCUCGGAUUUCAUGGCUUCAAGCCAUUUGUUGGAAUCCGGGCCCGCCAUCGCUUCUUCAUAGUUCGAAGGUUCAUUGUUGUCUAACAACAUGAUUUCCAGGACAGGGUUGCCGUACCACUCUGGUGCGGAACGUGUCCUUGUGGACCUACGAAGUUCAGCAGUAACUUGAUCCGAAGUACCUUGAUCAUCAUCAUUGUUUUCCUCUUCAGUUGGUGUGGGCAUCACAGGAACGGUUUCCUGCGCUGCGCCACUUUCCCGCUCAAGAGGUAGUACUUCAUCGAGUUCUACUUUCCUCCCACUUACUUCUUUCGAGAGAAACUCUUUUUUCAGAAAGCAUCCGUUCUUGGCAACAAAGAUCUUGCCUUCGGAUCUUAAGUAGAAGGUAUACCCUACAGUUUCCUUAGGGUAUCCUAUGAAUACGCAUUUUUCUGACUUGGGUUCGAGCUUUUCAGGUUGAAGUUUCUUGACAUAAGCAUCGCAUCCCCAAACUUUUAGAAACGACAGCUUAGGUUUCUUUCCAAACCAUAAUUCAUACGGUGUCGUCUCAACGGAUUUAGACGGUGCCCUAUUUAAAGUGAAUGUAGCUGUCUCUAGAGCGUAUCCCCAAAAUGAUAGCGGUAAAUCGGUAAGAGACAUCAUAGACCGCACCAUAUCCAAUAGGGUGCGAUUACGACGUUCGGACACACCGUUUCGCUGAGGUGUUCCAGGCGGCGUGAGUUGCGAAACGAUUCCACAUUUCCUUAAGUGUGUACCAAAUUCGUGACUUGAGUAUUCUCCUCCACGAUCUGAUCGUAGGAAUUUUAUCUUUCGGUCACGUUGAUUCUCUACCUCAUUCUGAAAUUCCUUGAACUUUUCAAAGGUCUCAAACUUGUGUUUCAUUAAGUAGACAUACCCAUAUCUACUCAAGUCAUCAGUGAGAGUGAGAACAUAACGAUAUCCUCCGCGAGCCUCAACGCUCAUUGGACCGCACACAUCGGUAUGUAUGAUUUCCAACAAGUUGGUUGCUCGCUCCAUUGUUCCGGAGAACGGAGUCUUGGUCAUUUUGCCCAAAAGGCAUGGUUCGCACGUGUCAAACGAUUCAUAAUCAAGAGACUCUAAAAGUCCAUCGGCAUGGAGCUUCUUCAUGCGCUUGACACCAAUGUGACCAAGGCGGCAGUGCCACAAGUAUGUGGGACUAUCGUUAUCAACUUUAAAUCUUUUGGCAUCUACACUAUGAACAUGUGUAAUAUUACGCUCGAGAUUCAUUAAGAAUAAACCAUUGACCAUCAGAGCAUGACCAUAAAACAUAUCUCUCAUAUAAAUCGAACAACCAUUAUUCUCAGACUUAAAUGAGUAACCAUCUCGUAUUAAACGAGAUCCAGAUACAAUGUUCAUGCUCAAACUUGGCACUAAAUAACAAUUAUUAAGGUUCAAAACUAAUCCCGUAGGUAAAUGUAGAGGCAGCAUGCCGACGGCGAUCACAUCGACUCUGGAACCAUUCCCGACGCGCAUCGUCACCUCGUCCUUCGCCAGUCUCCGUUUAUUCCGCAGCUCCUGCUGUGAGUUACAAAUAUGAGCAACGGCACCGGUAUCAAAUACCCAGGAGUUACUACGAGUACUGGUAAGGUACACAUCAAUCACAUGUAUAUCAAAUAUACCUUUGGUGUUGCCGGCCUUCUUAUCCGCUAAGUAUUUGGGGCAGUUCCGCUUCCAGUGACCCUUCCCCUUGCAAUAAAAGCACUCAGUCUCAGGCUUAGGUCCAUUCUUUGACUUCUUCCCGGUAACUGGCUUACCAGGCGCGGCAACCUCCUUGCCGUCCUUCUUGAAGUUCUUCUUACCCUUGCCCUUCUUGAACUUAGUGGUCUUAUUGACCAUCAACACUUGAUGUUCUUUCUUGAUUUCAGCCUCUGCUGACUUCAGCAUCGAGAACACUUCAGGAAUGGUCUUUUCCAUCCCCUGCAUGUUGUAGUUCAUCACAAAGCUCUUGUAUCUUGGUGGGAGCGACUGGAGGAUUCUGUCAAUGACCGCCUCAUCUGGGAGGUUAAUGUUCAGCUGGGUCAUACGGUUGUGCAACCCAGACAUCUUCAGGAUGUGCUCACUGACAGAACUGUUUUCCUCCAUCUUACAACUGUAGAACUUGUCGGAGACAUCAUAUCUCUCGACCCGGGCAUGAGCUUGAAAAACUAGUUUCAGCUCUUCGAACAUCUCAUAUGCUCCGUGGUGCUCAAAACGCUUUUGGAGCCCCGGUUCUAAGCUGUAAAGCAUGCCGCACUGAACGAGGGAGUAAUCAUCAGCACGAGAUUGCCAAGCAUUCAUAAUGUCUUGGUUCUCUGGGACGGGAGCGUCACCUAGCGGUCCUUCUAGGACAUAUUGUUUCCUGGCAGCUAUGAGGAUGAUCCUCAGGUUCCGGACCCAGUCCGUAUAGUUGCUGCCAUCAUCUUUCAGCUUGGUUUUCUCUAGGAACGCGUUGAAGUUCAUGUUGACAUUAGCGUUGGCCAUUGAUCUACAAGACAUAUUUGCAAAGGUUUUAUACUAAGUUCAUGAUAAUAAAGUUCUAAUCAAAUUAUGAACUCCCACUUAGAUUAGACAUCCCUCUAGUCAUCUAAGUGUUACACGAUCCGAGUCGACUAGCCCGUGUCCGAUCAUCACGUGAGACGGACUAGUCAUCGUCGGUGAACAUUCUCAUGUUGAUCGUAUCUUCCAUACGAUUCGUGUUCGACCUUUCGGUCUCCGUGUUCCGAGGCCAUGUCUGCACAUGCUAGGCUCGUCAAGUUAACCCUAAGUGUUUUCGCUGUGUAACACUGUCUUACACCCGUUGUAUGUGAACGUAAGAAUCCAUCACACCCGAUCAUCACGUGGUGCUUAGAAGCGACGAACUGUAGCAACGGUGCACAGUUAGGGGAGAACACUUCUUGAAAUUUUUGUAAGGGAUCAUCUUAUUUACUACCGUCGUCCUAAGUAAACAAGAUGCAUAAACAUAAUAAACAUCACAUGCAAUUAUAUAGUUGUGACAUGAUAUGGCCAAUAUCAUAUAGCUCCAUUGAUCUUCAUCUUCGGGGCUCCAUGAUCAUCUUGUCACCGGCUUGACACCAUGAUCUCCAUCAUUAUGAUCUCCAUCAUCGUGUCUUCAUGAAGUUGUCACGCCAACGACUACUUCUACUUCUAUGACUAACAUUUAGCAAUAAAGUAAAGUAGUUUACAUGACGUUAUUCAAUGACACGCAGGUCAUACAAAAAAUAAAGACAACUCCUAUGGCUCCUGCCGAUUGUCAUACUCAUCGACAUGCAAGUCGUGAAUCCUAUUACAAAGAACAUGAUCUCAUACAUCACAAUUCAUCAUUCAUCACAACUUCUGGCCAUAUCACAUCACAUGAUCAAUCGCUGCAAAACAAGUUAGACGUCCUCUAAUUUGUUGUUGCAUCUUUUACGUGGCUGCAAUUGGAUUCUAGCAAGAACGUUUUCUUACCUACGAAUCACCACAACGUGAUUUUGUCAACUUCUAUUUACCCUUCAUAAGGGCCCUGUUCAUCGAUUCCGCUCCAACUAAAGUGGGAGAGACAGACACCCGCCAGCCACCUUAUGCAACUAGUGCAUGUCAGUCGGUGGAUCCGGUCUCACGUAAGCGUACGUGUAAGGUUGGUCCGGGCCGCUUCAUCCCACAAUACCGUUGAGCAAGAAAAGACUAGUAGAGGCAAGUAAGAUGACAAAAUCCAUGCCCACAACAAAAAUUGUGUUCUACUCGUGCAAAGAGAACUACCCAUAGACCUAGCUCAUGAUGCCACUGUUGGGGAACGUUGCAGAAAAUUAAAAUUUUUCCUACGGUUUCACCAAGAUCCAUCUAUGAGUUCAUCUAAGCAACGAGUCAAGGGAGAGAGUUAGCAUCUACAUACCACUUGUAGAUCGCGUGCGGAAGCUUGCAAGGUGAUGAUGUAGUCGUACUCGACGUGAUUCGAAUCACCGAUGACCAAGUGCUGAACGGACAACACCUCCGCGUUCAACACACGUACGGGACGGGAGACGUCUCCUCCUUCUUGAUCCAGCAAGGGGGAAGGAGAGGUUGAGGAAGACAGCUCCACCGGCAGCACGACAGCGUGGUGAUGGUGGAGAGGCAGUACUCCGACAGGGCUUCGCCAAGCACACAACGGAGGAGGAGAGGUGUUGGGGAGGGGAGGGUUGCGCCUUGGAGGGUGGUGCGGCUGCCCUCCCCUCACCCCUCUAUUUAUAGGGGGAAGGGAGAAGGGGGCCGCCCCCCUAGAACCCAUCUAAGGGGGGGGGUGCGGCGGCCUAGGGGAGAGGGGAGAGGGUGGCUUGCCCCCCAAGUCAAGGGGCGCCCCCUCUAGGGUUCCCCCUCAACCCUAGGCGCAUGGGCCCAAGGGAGGGGGGUGCGGCCAGCCCACCAGGGGCUGGCUCCCUGCCCCACGCAGCCCAUGUGGCCCCCCGGGAGGGGUGGCCCCUCCCGGUGGACCCCCGGAACCCUUCCGGUGGCCCCGGUACAAUACCGGUAUGACCCCGAAACUUCCCGGUGUCCGUUUGACAACUUCCCAUAUAUAAAUCUUUACCUCCGGACCCUUCCGGAGCUCCUCGUGACGUCCAGGAUCCCAUCCGGGACUCCGAACAACAUUCGGUAGUCACAUACUAGUCUUCCUAAUAACCCUAGCGUCACCGAACCUUAAGUGUGUAGACCCUACGGGUUCGGGAGACAUGCAGACAUGACCUAGACGCUCUCAGGUCAAUAACCAACAGCGGGAUCUGGAUACCCAUGAUGGCUCCCACAUGCUCCUCGAUGUUGUCAUCGGAUGAACCACUAUGUCGAGGAUUCGAUCAAACCCUGUAUGCAAUUCCCUUUGUCAAUCGGUACGUUACUUGCCCGAGACUCGAUCGUCGGUAUCCCAAUACCUUGUUCAGUCUCGUUACCGGAAAGUCACUUUACUCGUACCGUAAUGCAUGAUCCCGUGUCCAACACCUUGGUCACAUUGAGCUCAUAAUGAUGAUGCAUUACCGAGUGGGCCCAGAGAUACCUCUCCGUCAUACGGAGUGACAAAUCCCAGUCUCGAUCCGUGUCAACCCAACAGCUACUUUCGGAGAUACCUGUAAUGCACCUUUAUAGUCACCCAGUUACGUUGUGACGUUUGAUACACCCAAGGCACUCUUACGGUAUCCGGGAGUUACACGAUCUCAUGGUCUAAGGAAGAGAUACUUGACAUUGGCAAAGCUCUAGCAAAACGAACUACACGAUCUUUUAUGCUAUGCUUAGGAUUGGGUCUUGUCUAUCACAUCAUUCUCCUAAUGAUGUGAUCCCGUUAUCAACGACAUCCAAUGUCCAUAGUCAGGAAACCAUGACUAUCUGUUGAUCACAACGAGCUGGUCAACUAGAGGCUCACCAGGGACAUAUUGUGGUCUACGUAUUCACACGUGUAUUACGAUUUCCGGAUAAUACAGUUAUAGCAUGAAUAAAGACAUUUAUCAUGAACAUUGAAAUAUAAUAAUACUUUUAUUAUUGCCUCUAGGGCAUAUUUCCAACAAUUAUAUCAUUAAUAUGAUGCAGUUCAUCAAAGGUAAUAUUUAAAAGUAUGUAUGUUGGUCGUUCUUCUAAUUAUCAUGUAACCUAUUUAUUGGUAGGUUGGAUGAUGAUCGUGCCGAUGAUUUUACCGCAAGUUAUGCAGUUGCUGCCUCAAGCUUGCUGCAUCCCAAUGCCAAACCAGUGAGACUUAAGGUGAAGAAGUCAUUUGAAUAUGAAAUCAAAGAGAAAAACAACCAUGCAAGAAGCCUUUGUAGUCCGCACAACCGAUCGUAUUAUUACUGAAAGCGAGCAGAGCUUUUUUAUGUACAAUUUAACUUUAUUUUUCCUAGCUCCGUGCUAUCUAUGAGCUAAAGGCACCUGCAAGGCUGCAAUGCAUAUGUAAUCUUGAAAAUGGCAGUCAAAAUGUUUGCAUGCAUGCAUGUUAUCUUUCAAUUUAUAUGAGUGCGCAACUUUUCUUUCAACCGCCUUUCAUAUUAUUAUUAUUAUUAUUUUGA